AGCGAACGCUGGCGGCAGGCCUAACACAUGCAAGUCGAACGAACUCUUCGGAGUUAGUGGCGGACGGGUGAGUAACACGUGGGAACGUGCCUUUUGGUUCGGAAUAACUCAGGGAAACUAGUGCUAAUACCGAAUGUGCCCUUCGGGGGAAAGAUUUAUCGCCAUUAGAGCGGCCCGCGUCUGAUUAGCUAGUUGGUGAGGUAACGGCUCACCAAGGCGACGAUCAGUAGCUGGUCUGAGAGGAUGACCAGCCACACUGGGACUGAGACACGGCCCAGACUCCUACGGGAGGCAGCAGUGGGGAAUCUUGCGCAAUGGGCGAAAGCCUGACGCAGCCAUGCCGCGUGAAUGAUGAAGGUCUUAGGAUUGUAAAAUUCUUUCACCGGGGACGAUAAUGACGGUACCCGGAGAAGAAGCCCCGACUAACUUCGUG
rnacentral:rRNA from 1 species